rnacentral:rRNA from 1 species
AUUGAACGCUGGCGGCAGGCCUAACACAUGCAAGUCGAGCGGAAGAAGGGAGCUUGCUCCUGGAUUCAGCGGCGGACGGGGGAGUAAUGCCUAGGAAUCUGCCUGGUAGUGGGGGAUAAUGUCCGGAAACGGGCGCUAAUACCGCAUACGUGCUGAGGCAGAAAGUGGGGGAUCUUCGGACAUCACGCUAGCAGAGGAGCCUAGGUCGGAUUAGCUAGCUGGUGGGGUAAAGGCCUACCAAGGCGACGAUCCGUAACUGGUCUGAGAGGAUGAUCGGUCACACUGGAACUGAGACACGGUCAAGGCUCCUACGGGAGGGAGCAGUGGGGAAUGUUGGACAAUGGGCGGAAGCCUGAUCCAGCCAUGCCGCGUGUGUGGAGAAGGUCUUCGGAUUGUAAAGCACUUUAAGUUGGGAGAAAGGGCAGUAAGUUAAUACCUUGCUGUUUUGACGUUACCAACAGAAUAAGCACCGGCUAACUUCGUG